rnacentral:SRP_RNA from 1 species
GGCCGGGCCCCUGUAAGUGCCGGAGCGUGAACCGGGUCAGGCGGGGAACCGAGCAGCCCUAAGCAGAUCCGGCUUUGUGCAGGUCAGUCCGGCCGGG